rnacentral:tRNA from 1 species
GCGGGUGUGCUGGAAUUGGUAGACAGGCUCUGUUUAGGCCAGAGUGGGUAAAACCGUAUAAGUUCAAGUCUUAUUGUCCGUA